GACGAACGCUGGCGGCGUGCUUAACACAUGCAAGUCGUACGGUAAGGCCCUUUCGGGGGUUCACGAGUGGCGAACGGGUGAGUAACACGUGAGUAACCUGCCCACAACUUGGGGAUAACGCUAGGAAACUGGUGCUAAUACUGGAUAUGUGCUACUGCUGCAUGGUGGGGGUUGGAAAGCUCCGGCGGUUGUGGAUGGACUCGCGGCCUAUCAGCUUGUUGGUGGGGUAGUGGCCUACCAAGGCGGCGACGGGUAGCCGGACUGAGAGGGUGACCGGCCACAUUGGGACUGAGAUACGGCCCAGACUCCUACGGGAGGCAGCAGUGGGGAAUAUUGCACAAUGGGCGCAAGCCUGAUGCAGCAACGCCGCGUGCGGGAUGACGGCCUUCGGGUUGUAAACCGCUUUCAGCAGGGACGAAGCUUUUUGUGACGGUACCUGCAGAAGAAGCACCGGCUAACUACGUG
rnacentral:rRNA from 1 species